rnacentral:rRNA from 1 species
AUGAUAUGCUUCUUCGCAGUCGAGUGGCACUUUGUAGACCGUGUGGCAAGACAAUUUGGAAAAAGACAAGGUAUUCCAAUUGAGGAGAGCAAGGAGGAAAUGCUAUCUCUGCAUCGGUUCGAUCGAAGGAACAAUCAGGAUAUAUCGGAUUGGGCAAACAAACACCGUGCGUGGAUAGAAAUUUGGAAUCAAAGAGACACGUUAGUGCAAUCAGAGAAUAGACCUCACAAUCAGUCAGCAUAUCAGAAGUAUCAAGUGUGGUAUGCGGAUCGUUACCGGUUAAAGCUGAAGCCAGGUUGGACUCACGAAGAGUGGUCGGAGUUGGUGUCUGAAGACCCGGAGACUGCAGAAGGUUAUCAUACCUUCAACACGGCUGUGAGAGACACCAGAGGGGCUCAUGUUGACUACGCACCGAUGCAUGACGAAAUGGUAGUCUGUUUGACCUAUUCUAACAUACUUGCAUCAUGUUGUCUUCUUUCAAAUACAUAA